ACCCGCUGAACUUAAGCAUAUCAAUAAGCGGAGGAAAAGAAACCAACAGGGAUUGCCCUAGUAACGGCGAGUGAAGCGGCAACAGCUCAAAUUUGAAAUCUGGCGUCUUUGGCGUCCGAGUUGUAAUUUGCAGAGGGUGCUUUGGCAUUGGCAGCGGUCCAAGUUCCUUGGAACAGGACGUCACAGAGGGUGAGAAUCCCGUACGUGGUCGCUAGCCUUUACCGCGUAAAGCCCCUUCGACGAGUCGAGUUGUUUGGGAAUGCAGCUCUAAAUGGGAGGUAAAUUUCUUCUAAAGCUAAAUACUGGCCAGAGACCGAUAGCGCACAAGUAGAGUGAUCGAAAGAUGAAAAGCACUUUGGAAAGAGAGUUAAAAAGCACGUGAAAUUGUUGAAAGGGAAGCGCUUGCAGCCAGACUUGCCUGUAGUUGCUCAUCCGGGUUUUUACCCGGUGCACUCUUCUAUAGGCAGGCCAGCAUCAGUUUGGGCGGUUGGAUAAAGGUCUCUGUCAUGUACCUCUCUUCGGGGAGAACUUAUAGGGGAGACGGCAUGCAACCAGCCCGGACUGAGGUCCGCGCAUCUGCUAGGAUGCUGGCGUAAUGGCUGU
rnacentral:rRNA from 1 species